UCGUGCUAGACGGGGAGGUAGCGGCGCCCUGUAACCCGCAAUCCGCUCUAGCGGGGUUGAAUUCCUCAUUUGAGGCAUCGUAAUUGUUUGGUCUGCCCUUGACAAGUGGUGUUGAAGGUUGGGUCUUGCGCAAUGGGAACCUGUGAACCAUGUCAGGUCCGGAAGGAAGCAGCAUUAAUCAGUGCUUCUCAUGUGCCGCGAGGUUGCCUGGCCCGAGCUAACUAUCAAGGUAACGCAGGUGAUUGCAUGUCGAGGUGAGGUGCGCGA
rnacentral:SRP_RNA from 12 species